AAUGACAUACGGUAAUGACAAAAACUAAAGUUAACGUUGUCAUAUGACAUUCUCGUGCUCAACGCUACAGUUUUGGAACAUCAUGGUUGUGGGGGAGAUAUCUGCCAUCACAGAAAGGGAACAGGUGUAAUAGCAGGACCAGUUUGGCGACUUGUUCUUGAACUAAACAGAAGCAGACAGGUGAAUGCAUGGAAUGUCUCUCCCCACCUUACCCCUUGUGCCCAUGUCACUUGUAGUACAGUCUCUGAGUAAGGAGAACUAGCGGAUACUAUUUUCAUCCCAUUGGAAUUUGCUUCAUUGAAGGCAAACCUGGACCUAGCUCUUCUACCACAGGU